rnacentral:rRNA from 1 species
GACGAACGCUGGCGGCGUGCCUAAUACAUGCAAGUAGAACGCUGAAGAGAGGAGCUUGCUCUUCUUGGAUGAGUUGCGAACGGGUGAGUAACGCGUAGGUAACCUGCCUGGUAGCGGGGGAUAACUAUUGGAAACGAUAGCUAAUACCGCAUAAAAUUGAUUAUUGCAUGAUAAUUAAUUGAAAGAUGCAACUGCAUCACUACCAGAUGGACCUGCGUUGUAUUAGCUAGUUGGUGAGGUAACGGCUCACCAAGGCGACGAUACAUAGCCGACCUGAGAGGGUGAUCGGCCACACUGGGGAGAGGACGCGCCCCGGACUCCUACGGGAGGCGGCAGUCGGGAAUUUUCGGAAGUGGGGGGACCGCGGACUGUGCGCCGCCGCGUGAGUGAAGAGGGUUUUAGGAUCGAAAAGCUCUGUUGUAAGAGAAGCCCGGGUGAGAGAGUGAAAAGUUCACCCUAUGACGGUAUCUUACCAAAAAGGGACGGCUAAGUACGUG